AGAAUCAACGCUGGCGGUGUGCCUAACACAUGCAAGUCGAACGAGAAAGUGGAGCAAUCCAUGAGUAAAGUGGCGCACGGGUGAGUAACACGUGACUAACCUACCCUUGAGUGGGGGAUAACCUAGAGAAAUCUGGGCUAAUACCGCAUAAUACCUUCGGGUCAAAGGAGCAAUUCGCUUAAGGAGGGGGUCGCGGCCGAUUAGUUAGUUGGCGGGGUAAUGGCCCACCAAGACUGUGAUCGGUA
rnacentral:rRNA from 1 species